rnacentral:tRNA from 1 species
GUUUUAAUAAUUUAAAUAAAAUAUUGGUCUUGUAAACCAAAAAUGAUACUAUAUCUUAAAACU